AUUGAACGCUGGCGGCAGGCCUAACACAUGCCAGUCGAGCGGAUGAAGGGAGCUUGCUCCUGGAUUCAGCGGCGGACGGGUGAGUAAUGCCUAGGAAUCUGCCUGGUAGUGGGGGAUAACGUCCGGAAACGGGCGCUAAUACCGCAUACGUCCUGAGGGAGAAAGUGGGGGAUCUUCGGACCUCACGCUAUCAGAUGAGCCUAGGUCGGAUUAGCUAGUUGGUGGGGUAAAGGCCUACCAAGGCGACGAUCCGUAACUGGUCUGAGAGGAUGAUCAGUCACACUGGAACUGAGACACGGUCCAGACUCCUACGGGAGGCAGCAGUGGGGAAUAUUGGACAAUGGGCGAAAGCCUGAUCCAGCCAUGCCGCGUGUGUGAAGAAGGUCUUCGGAUUGUAAAGUACUUUAAGUUGGGAGGAAGGGCAGUAAGUUAAUACCUUGCUGUUUUGACGUUACCAACAGAAUAAGCACCGGCUAACUUCGUG
rnacentral:rRNA from 1 species